UUGACCUCGAAUCAGGUAGGAAUACCCGCUGAACUUAAGCAUAUCAAUAAGCGGAGGAAAAGAAACCAACAGGGAUUGCCCCAAUAACGGCGAGUGAAGCGGCAACAGCUCAAAUUUGAAAUCUGGCUCUCGGGCCCGAGUUGUAAUUUGUAGAGGAUGCUUUUGGUGAGGUGCCUUCCGAGUUCCCUGGAACGGGACGCCAUAGAGGGUGAGAGCCCCGUCUGGUUGGACACCGAUCCUCUGUAAAGCUCCUUCGACGAGUCGAGUAGUUUGGGAAUGCUGCUCUAAAUGGGAGGUAUAUGUCUUCUAAAGCUAAAUACCGGCCAGAGACCGAUAGCGCACAAGUAGAGUGAUCGAAAGAUGAAAAGAACUUUGAAAAGAGAGUUAAAAAGUACGUGAAAUUGUUGAAAGGGAAGCGCUUGUGACCAGACUUGGGCUUGGUUGAUCAUCCGGGGUUCUCCCCGGUGCACUCUUCCGGCUCAGGCCAGCAUCAGUUCGCCCUGGGGGAUAAAGGCUUCGGGAAUGUGGCUCUCUCCGGGGAGUGUUAUAGCCCGCUGCGUAAUACCCUGUGGCGGACUGAGGUUCGCGCAU
rnacentral:rRNA from 1 species